rnacentral:rRNA from 1 species
CAGUAGCCGCGGUAAUACGUAGGUGGCAAGCGUUGUCCGGAAUUAUUGGGCGUAAAGGGCUCGCAGGCGGUUUCUUAAGUCUGAUGUGGAAGCCCCCGGCUCAACCGGGGAGGGUCAUUGGAAACUGGGAAACUUGAGUGCAGAAGAGGAGAGUGGAAUUCCACGUGUAGCGGUGAAAUGCGUAGAGAUGUGGAGGAACACCAGUGGCGAAGGCGACUCUCUGGUCUGUAACUGACGCUGAGGAGCGAAAGCGUGGGGAGCGAACAGGAUUAGAGACCCCUGUAGUCCCUGUCUCUUAUAC